rnacentral:rRNA from 1 species
AGUGAACGCUGGCGGUAGGCCUAACACAUGCAAGUCGAACGGCAGCACAGUAAGAGCUUGCUCUUACGGGUGGCGAGUGGCGGACGGGUGAGGAAUACAUCGGAAUCUACUUUUUCGUGGGGGAUAACGGAGGGGAACUUACGCUAAUACCGCAUACGACCUACGGGUGAAAGCAGGGGAUCUUCGGACCUUGCGCGAUUGAAUGAGCCGAUGUCGGAUUAGCUAGUUGGCGGGGUAAAGGCCCACCAAGGCGACGAUCCGUAGCUGGUCUGAGAGGAUGAUCAGCCACACUGGAACUGAGACACGGUCCAGACUCCUACGGGAGGCAGCAGUGGGGAAUAUUGGACAAUGGGCGCAAGCCUGAUCCAGCCAUACCGCGUGGGUGAAGAAGGCCUUCGGGUUGUAAAGCCCUUUUGUUGGGAAAGAAAAGCAGCAGGUUAAUACCCCGCUGUUCUGACGGUACCCAAAGAAUAAGCACCGGCUAACUUCGUG